rnacentral:rRNA from 1 species
UACGGAGGGAGCUAGCGUUGUUCGGAUCUACUGGGCGUAAAGCGCACGUAGGCGGCGCCGUAAGUCAGGGGUGAAAUCCCGGAGCUCAACUCCGGAACUGCCCUUGAAACUGCAGUGCUAGAAUCUUGGAGAGGCGAGUGGAAUUCCGAGUGUAGAGGUGAAAUUCGUAGAUAUUCGGAAGAACACCAGUGGCGAAGGCGACUCGCUGGACAAGUAUUGACGCUGAGGAGCGAAAGCGUGGGGAGCGAACAGG